rnacentral:rRNA from 1 species
UACGUAGGGCGCAAGCGUUAUCCGGAAUUAUUGGGCGUAAAGAGCUCGUAGGCGGUCUGUUGCGUCUGCUGUGAAACCGGGGCUUAACCCCUGGCUUGCAGUGGAUACGGACAGACUAGAGGUAGGUAGGGGAGAAUGGAAUUCCCGGUGUAGCGGUGAAAUGCGCAGAUAUCGGGAGGAACACCGGUGGCGAAGGCGGUUCUCGGGCCUUACCUGACGCUGAGGAGCGAAAGCGUGGGGAGCGACAGGA